rnacentral:rRNA from 1 species
UAGGGAAUCUUCCACAAUGGACGAAAGUCUGAUGGAGCAACGCCGCGUGAGUGAAGAAGGAUUUCGGUUCGUAAAACUCUGUUGUAAGGGAAGAACAAGUACAGUAGUAACUGGCUGUACCUUGACGGUACCUUAUUAGAAAGCCACGGCUAACUACGUGCCAGCAGCCGCGGUAAUACGUAGGUGGCAAGCGUUGUCCGGAAUUAUUGGGCGUAAAGCGCGCGCAGGCGGUCCUUUAAGUCUGAUGUGAAAGCCCACGGCUCAACCGUGGAGGGUCAUUGGAAACUGGGGGACUUGAGUGCAGAAGAGGAAAGUGGAAUUCCAAGUGUAGCGGUGAAAUGCGUAGAGAUUUGGAGGAACACGAGUGGCGAAGGCGACUUUCUGGUCUGUAACUGACGCUGAGGCGCGAAAGCGUGGGGAGCAAACAGG